rnacentral:rRNA from 1 species
GUGCCAGCAGCCGCGGUAAUACGAACCCGACAAACGUUAUUCGGAAUUAUUGGGCUUAAAGGGUGCGUAGGCGGUGCGGUAAGUGCGGUGUGAAAUCCCUCGGCUCAACCGAGGAAUUGCGCUGCAUACUGCCGUGCUGGAGGGAGACAGAGGUAAGCGGAACUGAUGGUGGAGCGGUGAAAUGCGUUGAUAUCAUCAGGAACACCGGUGGCGAAAGCGGCUUACUGGGUCUCUUCUGACGCUGAGGCACGAAAGCUAGGGUAGCGAACGGGAUUAGAUACCCCAGUAGUCC